rnacentral:lncRNA from 1 species
CAAGAGCCAUCUUGUGUUUUGUCCUCUGUAGUUUCCAGGAUGGUGCCUGCCCCUAAGCAGAUGUGAAUGAACAGCAGAAGCAGCUUAUGAUUCCUGCAAAUGACACCAGAGCACGUCGGCGGAGGUUUCUCUCUCUCCCAGAUCUGCGAGAGUGAUUUCCCAGUGAUUGCUUCGGCCGGUACAACCAGAGAAUAGGAGUCUUCUCUUCUUUUUGGACCACUAGAUGCCUCUCUGCACCACAGUCUGCAGCGAGGGAAGAAGGGCGGAGCUUCUAGGAUGACGAUGGACAGUCCGCUGGGCAGGAUGAGGGCAGAGAGUGUGACGUCGACACCACAAGGGCGCAGCGUGAACUUCCUCGUCUCCCUUCCCAGCCAGCU